CUGUUAAGAGGUCAGUGUUGAUCAGUGGCUGUUCAGACCUUUCAGAGACACUGAACACACCAGCAGCACAAUAAUGAUGUCACUGACUCUACUGCUGACCACCCUGGGGCUCCUUGUUCAGGGUUCAUCAGGAGAAAUCAUCCUGACUCAGACUCCUGGAUCUCAGUCUGUUGUUCCAGGACAGACUGUCUCCAUCACAUGUAAAACCAGUACAGGUGUUAGCAGCUAUCUUAACUGGUACCUUCAGAAACCAGGAGAAGCUCCUAAACUCCUGAUAUAUGCAGCUUCAAGUCGUCAGUCUGGAAUUCCAAGUCGUUUUAGUGGAAGUGGAUCUGGUUCUGACUUCACUCUGACCAUCAGUGGAGUUCAGGCUGAAGAUUCAGGAGUUUAUUACUGUCAGCAGGGUAGCAACUGGCCGCUCACACAGUGAUACAACGUCGUACAAAAACCUCCCUCAGCUGGAGAGGAACUGAUCUGAACCAACAGCUGCACUGAAACUAAAACAGGAGAAGAACUGAGACUAAACUGCAAAGAUUUUUGUUAUCAAAUUAAGUUUUAUGAAUUAAUAUCUCAAAACGUUUAUAGAUUUUAAUCUUCAGACAAGCAUCAAUGAGAACAUUUUUAUUUUAGCUAUUUGACUUUAUAGGACAAAUAACAACAAAACAGUCAUGUGUAAUUUUAAAUUACUGAGAUAAAAUUAAAAUUUUAGAUGUAAAGUUAUUCUUUUAAACACUAUUUUAAAACUUCAUUUUUUUAUUUUUUAAUAUUAUAUAUUUUGUGUUGCAGCAAAUCUGAAUUCUAGACGUAGUUAGUCGUCAUACUGGCUGCCUGUUCAUCAGAGAAUAGACUUUAAAUUUGUGCUGCUGGCAUAUAAAGCUCUGAAUGGUUUAGGACCAAAAUACAUCAGUGAUUUCUUGACCCAGUAUGGAUCUAACAGAACCUUCAGGUCAUCUGGAUCCAGUUUCUUUUCAGUUCCUGGAGUCAGAACUAAAGAUGGAGAAGCUGCAUUCAGCUUCUAUGCUCCACAUGUCUGGAACAAACUCCCAGAAAGCCUCAGAUCAGCUGAAACACUCAGUUUAUUUAAAUGCAGGUUAAAUACCCACCUGU